AGGAUGAACGCUGGCGGCGUGCUUAACACAUGCAAGUCGAACGAUGAAGCAGAGCUUGCUCUGUGGAUUAGUGGCGAACGGGUGAGUAACACGUGAGUAACCUGCCCUUGACUCUGGAAUAAGCGUUGGAAACGACGUCUAAUACCGGAUACGAGCUUCCGCCGCAUGGUGGGGAGCUGGAAAGAAUUUCGGCAAGGAUGGACUCGCGGCCUAUCAGGUAGUUGGUGAGGUAAUGGCUCACCAAGCCCUACGACGGGUA
rnacentral:rRNA from 1 species